ACUGAGGAAUUGUCCGUGCAAGUCGAACCAUUUUGACACCCAAUAGCUAGCCCUUCCACCCAAACCAAACAAGUCC
rnacentral:tRNA from 1 species